GUAGUCUUACCCACGCGCGAGUCAAAGAGCGUGCGCCAAUACUCGCCCCUCGUCGCGGAUGUUUUGGUCGGCGGGGCGGCGGUGUUUGGUGGUGAGAGGAGGAGGAGUGGGUUGGGGUUCAGCACUGGAUUUAAUAGUGAAGUGGGUUUGGGUUUGGGUGGGUUUGGAAGUGAAAAGAUUGGUUUUUUGAAAGAAAGGGUUUGAAGAGUGAAACAAUGAAGUGGAAGAAGAAGCCAUUGUUAAUUUUAGAUCCAAAAGUGUUUCAGAUUCAGGGUUGAAGAGGUUUUAGAUCUCAUCAUUACUCAAUUAAAUAAUUAUAAUUAUUAUUCACAUUAGCAUAUGAAAAAUUGUUUUAAUUGAAAGGGAUAGUGAAAACUGGAAGUAUACU